rnacentral:rRNA from 1 species
GCGAGCAGAACCAGCAGAUUUACUUCGGUAAUGACGCUGGGGACGCGAGCGGCGGAUGGGUGAGUAACACGUGGGGAACCUGCCCCAUAGUCUAGGAUACCACUUGGAAACAGGUGCUAAUACCGGAUAAUAAAGCAGAUCGCAUGAUCAGCUUAUAAAAGGCGGCGUAAGCUGUCGCUAUGGGAUGGCCCCGCGGUGCAUUAGCUAGUUGGUAAGGUAACGGCUUACCAAGGCAAUGAUGCAUAGCCGAGUUGAGAGACUGAACGGCCACAUUGGGACUGAGACACGGCCCAAACUCCUACGGGAGGCAGCAGUAGGGAAUCUUCCACAAUGGACGCAAGUCUGAUGGAGCAACGCCGCGUGAGUGAAGAAGGUUUUCGGAUCGUAAAGCUCUGUUGUUGGUGAAGAAGGAUAGAGGUAGUAACUGGCCUUUGUUUGACGGUAAUCAACCAGAAAGUCACGGCUAACUACGUGCCAGCAGCCGCGGUAAUACGUAGGUGGCAAGCGUUUCGG